rnacentral:lncRNA from 1 species
CCUGUCUUUGCUGGAAUGGAAAGAGAUCUUGUUGUAAGAGGAGCGUUGGAUGAACCAGCCCCAACCCAGGGUCUAGAGUUUGAGGAGUGACAAGGGCAGAUCUCUAAGGAAGCGAAACUCCUCUGAGACCCGACAGGGAACCAGCUUCCUCGAGGAACCUGAGUGAAAGGUCAGAUUGGGGGAACAUCUCAGGGAGGGACCAGCAUGUGCAAAGGUCCUGGGGUGUUGUAGAGCCUGCUCUGUCGAAGGAAGGAAGAGGCUAAAAGUGCCAUGGUGGAGUAUGGUAGGAGGUGGGUCCUGCUCUAAAGGCUCGGAUGCAGGGCAUUAGGAUGUGUGGGGACACAGGGGCUGCUGAAGGGGUCUCUGGGGUCUGGACUAGGGAUUUAUUUCUAGCUGUAUGCUUCUGUGGGGAGAGGACCUGUCACCUGAGCCUCCUCAGGUCAUCCAUCGUCCUCGAAGGAUCCAUCCUGAGGCAUCAACUGAAAAUUAUGGCUCCUGAGAAAGAAUAAAGCACACUGUUCACUGCCAGGAUGAGUGUCCCUGUGGCAGCAUCUAGAGCUUGCCUGUUGCUCCUGCUAACGACCUCUGUCCCCCGUGUGGCCCUUUCUUUCUGUCACUUCUGUAGCUGUACUGUUGACAACUCUUCUCUAGGUGUCUCUGAAGCCCUGAAAGGCCUCUCAGCUUGGCAUGGCCCCCCGCCCCGCCCCAGCUCGCUCUCUUGAUGCCCAUGUGUGUGACUUGACAGCAUUCCUGCCUUGCUGGCCCACUGCCCCACUCCAAGGAAGGACGCUCUCAAGGUCCAGGUCCCUGGCAGGUAAACAGCAAAGUUUCAGAUUCACAGACAUCCUCUCCCUCCUGCACCAACUGCCCACCAGGAAAGUGGGAGCUUGGCGCUGCUUGCAAAGGACUAGGUGAUGUAUGAGCCUGUCUGCGGGCGCCAGGUCCUGAUCUGUGUCCCUGUGAAUAAGAAGCCACUUAAGAGUGUCAGGCAAUCAGGGACUGCCCCUCCUCCUGCCUUCGACCUUGCCUCAGCUUUUGUGGAGUCUGUGGGGUGAUGUGAUAGAGGCUGUGUAGUCAGAUCAGCACCACAGAGG